rnacentral:lncRNA from 1 species
CUAGAACAUAUAGUUUAUUUACUGGUCUGCUUAUUUAAGCUGCAUUUUAUUACUAAAUAUGUUUCUUUGUGGGAGAAAUAUAUAUAUCGUCUUUUUAAGGAACUCUUGCUAAAUAGUUUGUCACCAGUGUUCUUUAUUUUCUCUAUCAGAUACAGUGCUAUUUCUGAUUCAAUCAUGUCACAUCAACUAAGAAAAUAUUCAAAUUACUGAGCCCUGAAAAAUCAUAUCCGUCACCUUAUCAGAGUAAUUAAUGUGUAAUUAUUUUGAAUUACACAUUUUAUGUAUUCUAGAAGACAAAAGGUUUUACACAUAUUCCUUAAUUGUUGAUGUUCAAAUUGGCUAAACUAUUGACAGGGAACAUUUGGAAGUAGAGAUGUAACAUUAGAAAAGUUGAAAUUUCUACUGCCAAAUCAACAACCCAAAAAUGCCCUUCAAGAGCAAAGGAAUAAUGAUAAAUGAUACAAUGAAAUAAAAGGAAUGAGGACAACGUGUCAGUUACUGAUCUUCAGGAUACAGUAUCACACUCUUUAAAAGGUUUUGACUCUUCAAAAGGUUUGUGACUACUGAAUGGCCUGGGAUGGGAUGAUUAACUUGUACUACCCCAGACCAAGGGAUUUUUUUUUAUAAGAACUAAAUUUCCUGUUGGAGCAAAAUAGUCCUUCCCUUUCUCUGCCCCACCUCCAGGCCUUGAACCACUAUCCUGGCCUCUUUCCCAGUCUGACUGGGAAAGAGGGCUGGGGAUGCUCCUCAGUGGUAGAGGGCUUCCCUAGUAUGCAUGAUGCCUGUGAUUGAACCCAGGCACCAUGAUAACUGUGUGUGUACACACACAUACACAUAUUUUUUGAGUGAUAUACCAUGUUAAAUUAUUUUGUAUUGGAGGAAGAGACUUUUGGCAUCUUUCAGUAGGGGUUCAAGUGAGUACUGCAUUUUUAAAAUGCAAUAAAAUUGACAGAACAAGCUAGACGCAGUGGCACAUGCCUGUAAUCCCAGCAACUCCAGAGGCUGAGGCAGGAAGAUUCCAAAUUCAAAGCCAGCCUCAGCAAAAGCCAGGUACUAAGCAACUCAGUAAGACCCUGUUUCUUAAAAAAAAAAAAAAAAAAAAAAACAUAAAAUUCACCAUUUUAAAGCAUAUGACUUAAUGGUUUUUAUUACAUUUAUAGUAAUGUGCUACUACCUCCACAAUAUUUAUUAACCGCCACCCCCCCCCCCAAAAAAAAAAAAACAAACAAAAAAAAACCCCAUACUCAUUUAACCAGUCACCCUCAUUCCUCCCUCUCCUCAGUGUCUGGCAACAACUCUCCUUUCUGUCUCCAUGGAUUUGCCCAUUCUAGAUAUUUCAUAUAAAAGGAAUUACAUAAUAUGUGACCUUUUUUGUCUGAUUUCUUUCACUUGAUAAAGUGUUGUCAAGGUUCAUCCAUGUUGUGACAUGUAUCAGUACUUCAUUCUUCUUUAUGUCUGAAUGAUAUUUAAUUGUAUGGAUUUACAUAUUUCGUUUACCCAUUCGUCAGCUGAUGGGGAUUUGGGUUGUUUCUGUUUUUUGGCUAUUAUGAAUCACGAAUACCACUGUGAAUAUGUGUGUACAGACUUUGUUUAAACUUAAGGUUUUAGUUAUUGGGUAUAACUUAGGAAUCACCAUACAGCUUUUAUAGCAGAUGCUUAAUUCUACAUUCACACGGGAAACAGAUGAGGAUACAAUUUUCCAUAUUCCAUUAACAUUUAUUUACUUUUUUAAAAGUGAUAGCCAUAAUAGUGGGUGUAAAUGGUAUCACACUUUUAAUUUAUAUUCCCCUAAUGACUGAUAAUGUUGAACAUCUUUCAUGUUCUUAUUAGCCAUUUGUACAUCCUCUUUGGAGAAAUGUUUCUUCAGGGCCUUUGUCCAUUUAAAACAGUGUUUUGCCUUCUUAUUGUUGAACUGUACAAAUUGUUUAUAUAUUCAAAAUACUAGACAUAGAGAAUGUGCAAAUAUUUAUACUUCUAUUUUUGUGGGUGAUUUUUCAUUUUCUUGAUAGCGUCCCAUCAUUCAUAAGUUUUUAAUUUAAAUAAGC